GUGGGGAAUAUUGCACAAUGGGCGAAAGCCUGAUGCAGCAACGCCGCGUGAAGGAUGAAGGCCUUUGGGUCGUAAACUUCUGUCCUUGGGGAAGAAAAAAAUGACGGUACCCCUGGAGGAAGUCCCGGCUAACUACGUGCCAGCAGCCGCGGUAAUACGUAGGGGGCGAGCGUUAUCCGGAAUUAUUGGGCGUAAAGAGUACGUAGGUGGUUUUUUAAGCGCAGGGUUUAAGGCGAUGGCUCAACUGUCGUUCGCCCUGUGAACUGGAAGACUUGAGUACAGGAGAGGAAAGCGGAAUUCCUAGUGUAGCGGUGAAAUGCAUAGAUAUUAGGAGGAACACCAGUGGCGAAGGCGGCUUUCUGGACUGUAACUGACGUUGAGGCUCGAAAGCGUGGGGAGCAAACAGGAUUAGAAACCCGUGUAGUCC
rnacentral:rRNA from 1 species